rnacentral:rRNA from 1 species
UACGUAGGGUGCGAGCGUUAAUCGGAAUUACUGGGCGUAAAGCGUGCGCAGGCGGUUUUGUAAGCCAGAUGUGAAAUCCCCGGGCUUAACCUGGGAAUGGCAUUUGGGACUGCAAGGCUUGAGUGCGGCAGAGGAGACUGGAAUUCCCGGUGUAGCAGUGAAAUGCGUAGAUAUCGGGAGGAAUACCGAUGGCGAAGGCAGGUCUCUGGGCCGAUACUGACGCUGAGGAGGCGAAAGCGUGG